GAAAAAUAACGAUACGGGACUCAUCCGAGGCCUCGUAUCGGAAUGAGUACACUUUAAAUCCUUUAACAAGGAUCAAUCAGAGGGCAAGUCUGGUGCCAGCAGCCGCGGUAAUUCCAGCUCUGAUAGCGUAUAUUAAAGUUGUUGCGGUUAAAAAGCUCGUAGUUGGUUCUGUGUGCCAUGCUGUUGGUUCACCGCCUGCCGGUGCAACUGACAUGUCAUGGGGACGUACUGUCGGUGGCUAUUAAAGCCCCUAUUCUUUUGAUUUAGGUAACACUUUAUCUAAAGGGUAGGUAACUUUAAUAGCCGAUUAACUCCUACCGCGGUGCUCUUUACUGAGUGUCGAGGUGGGCCGACAUUUUUACUUUGAACAAAUUAGAGUGCUCAAAGCAGGCAAAAAUUUGCCUGAAUAGUGGUGCAUGGAAUAAUAGAAUAGGACCUUGGUUCUAUUUUGUUGGUUUUUAAGAAUCCAAGGUAAUGAUCAAUAUGGACAGGCGGGGGCAUUCGUAUUGCGACGUUAGAGGUGAAAUUCUUGGAUCGUCGCAAGACGAACUAGAGCGAAA
rnacentral:rRNA from 1 species